rnacentral:misc_RNA from 1 species
UUCAUUCUUUGCUUUGUAUUCAGACACAAACGGCAGAAUUAUAGCAUAAAAGCGGCGCCGGAGCGCCGAAGCACGUUUUUAAACAUCCACUGGUUUGAGGGGUUUUGAAGGUACAAAGACCAUUCGUUAAUGAUCCCUCCGCAGGUUCACCUACGGAGA